UGUAACGAUUUUUCGCAAUUCUGGCAGUAACUUACUUUAAACCCUGCAACAAUCUACUGUAUAUGAGUAUACAGUACACUACUGGGCAGAGCAAAGUAUUGUGGGUAAUAAACGGAUACUUAUGUACAGUACUGAUGUACUGUAAAUUAAUUUACAGUAGUACAAUCCCCGGGAAAAAAUUGACCAACCACAACGUUGCUCUAUUUGAAUAGACCUACACCCUUAAAAGAGAUUGGUUAAAAAAAUGACUAAUCUCGUUGGUUGAGGCAAUAUUGGUCAAAUUAACUGUGACAUUGGUAACUAUUAAACAAACAAAUUGGUUAUCUUACAAAGAUAUUGGUUAACUUUAAUAACAGAUUGGUUGAAAAAUGACUAGCGAAUUAAUAUCAUUAGUUAAGCAAAUGUUAACUAAGAGAUUGGUAACUGACGCAGGUCUGACGCUAAACGUCAAGUACGUAACUCUGCUUCUCAAUUUUCUGACAAAGCCGCCAUCUUUGUGCUGCAGGAAAGCCGUUUGAGAUAUUGGUGAAAUUCAAACACUUUGUGAGAUGACAGAAUAUUGCUGAAGGAUCCUACAUGGAAGCUGGCUGAUUACACGGAGUGAUUCCUCUGGUGUGGUGUACCUCAGAGAAAUAAACACUGUUGCAAGAGCUGAGAAGAUGGCCAAGAUAUCCUUAUUGCUGGAUGGUAGCUCUGGUCGUAGUGGACCAUAUCUGCAAAUGCUUCUGAACAUUGACAGAAUUUCUAAAGAUGACUGAGAAUAUUACUGAAGGAUCCUACAUGGAAGCUGUCUGAUUACACUGAGUGAUUCCUCUGGUGUGGUGUACCUCAGAGAAAAUAAACACUGUUGCAAGAGCUGAGAAGAUAUCCUUAUUGCUGGAUGGUUGCUCUUUGGUCGUACUUGAGCCCCCUGGACCAUGUCUGCAAAUGAUUGUGUUUGAUAUGAAGUACUAUUUGUACAUAGUUUGUUUGCACAGGCAAAACUCCUUCUUCUUGUGGACUUAGUUUUCGUUUUUGGAAUAUGACAGAACUGUAGGGUCAUGCUUUUCUGGUAGUUUCAUCAAUAAUUUUGGUUUCACUUUUAUGAUUGUAUGUGAAGUAACUUGCUGUAUAUUUGUAUAUAGUUCGCUUGCAGAGACAAGACUCCUUGCUCUUGUGGAUUUGUUCUUGACAUAGGUUUCAGUUUUGGAAUAUGACAGAACUGUAGGGUCAUGCUUUUCUGUAUAUUUGUAUAUAGUUCGUUUGCACAGACAAGACUCCUUGGUCUGGUCUUGUGGACUUGUUCUUGACGUAGGUUUCAGGUUUGGAAUAUGACAGAACUGUAGGGUCAUGCUUUUCUGGUAGUUUCAUCAAUAUUUUUUUUUUUUGUUCUGUGAUUGCAUGUGAAGUACAACUUCCUGUAUGUUUGUAUAUAGUUCGCUUGCACAGAUAAGACUCCUUGCUCUUCUGGAAACUUGACGUAGGUUUUAAUUUUGGAAUCUGAGGAUUAUAUAUGGAUUAUAGAAUAUGAAAAUGGAUUUUUGACAUAGGACUCUAUUUCCUAGUUAACAAGGGUAUUGUAGAUUUGUGGGGACACUAAAUAUGUAGACAUGCUUGUGUGUUGUGCAGUCAUUCAGAUAGCAUAAAGAAAGUGUACAAAUCAUCCACUAGAUGGCACUGUCAAACCACAAAUGGAAGAGCAGAGACGAAUGAUCCUAAGAAUUAAUUCUGAUUGGGAAAAUUGCAAUUUUCAUACAUGAAAAGGGAGAUCUUAUCCAUGGUCCACCAUUUUGUAUUUCCAGAAAUAGACAUUUUUAGCUGAAAAGCUUAAUAUACCGGUAAUAAUUUGGUCAUACUAGUAAACAUUACUUCAUUACCGGUAUUUAGUAAAUAUUAAUGAAAACCAAGAUAGAAUUUGGCAGUAGACGGCACAGUUUCACUGAGCAACAUAGUUGCAAUACCUAUUCUGGCCAUCUUUUUAGAGCUUCUUAUCUACUAAAGAUGUACCGUAGACAUGCUUGUGUGUUCUGCAGUCAUUCAGAUAACAUAAAGAAAUUGUACAAAUCAUCCACUAGAUGGCACUCUAAGACCACAAAUGGAAGAGCAAUGACGAAUGAUGAAUUAGGCCAGGGGUUCCCUUACAUGGCAAGGUCCCCAGUAUACUAGUGGAUCUUAGCUGAGUCCCUCACCCUUAAAGGUGCACUGAGUAAUAUUUUAGUAGGUUCUUUUCAGAAGUUAUACUGCCCAUACACAAAUGUUGCCUUUUUCGUGACUACUUGCCACCCCCAUCACAUUGUAAGAAUUCAUUGUGACUGGGAAAAUGGCACUUUUCAUACAUGAAAAGGGAGAUCUUAUCCAUGGUCCGCCAUUUUUGAAUUUCCAGAAAUAGACAUUUUAGCUGAAAAGCUUAACAUAAUUUGGUCAUAUUAGUAAAUAUUAGUUCAUUAUUUAGUAAAUACUAAUGAAAACCAAGAUAGAAUUUGGCAUUAGACGGCACAGUUUCACUGAGCAGUAUAGUUGCAAUACCUAUUCUGGCCACCAUCCUACACAGUGCACCGUUAAUAUGGAAUAUUACUGCCAAUAGGCCAUCUUUUCCGCCCUUCACAUCUCUAUUGGCACAUUCCUAAAUCGUGGAAACAUACUGUAAGACACAUGGGUCUAAGAGGGUAGGCUAUGCCUUUUCCCCCACACAUAUAGGCGUACACAUUCUACAUGAGGGGUGCUGGUCACAGGGCCAGUUUUUCAAAAUUCCUUCCAUUAAAAGGACUGAACAACAUAUUACACAUUUAUGUCUAUAUUCACAUUCAUUACACAUUCAUUUCUAUAUGCAGCCCGAUGUCUCCGCGGGCAGCCAUAGUUUACUCACUGUAAGGGAAACACUGGUAGUGUGAAUUCGUAGAGGGAUGCGAUUUGACAUUGGUGAAACCCCAACAUCAUACAAAUUAGAUGGUCCCAAAGCUUUCACGAAAAGAUCAAAUUUGGCAAUAGGCAGCACAGUUUCAAUGAGAAUCAUAGUUGCAAUACCUACUCUGGCCACAAACGUACAUGGUGCACCUUUAAAACAACUGUGAAUCCCAGUGUAAUGUAAUGUAAUGCUGCAAGAUGCUAAGUGUGUCUGUCUUUUUUUUUAGGUCACUGCUACUGCAACAGAUGUCGCAAGUCUUUCUCUGCCCAACGCCCCAAGGCUGUUUGCACUUGGUUCAUUCUCAGAAUAAACCCAGAGGGCUCCAAAUGCCAGGCCAAGUCCAUCACCAGCAAGAAGACCGGUAAAAAGGUGCAAAGGAAGAGCAGCAGUGUCAACCCUGUUGUUGCUUCAUUCAUCAGGGAACUUGUUGAUUUUGACUGGCUGAAUUAUUAAUGCUUGACCUUUUGAAGUUCCAAUCACUUGUUUCUUUUAAGUAGUUCAGUCCGAGCAUUGCACCAAAGGCUCGAGGCCCUGUUG